rnacentral:lncRNA from 1 species
CACCACUCACGGGUGAGCCGGGAUUCAAGUCUUCGAUGGAGCCCCAGGAAUAUGCAUUUUAUCAAGCAUUCCUCAGGCAUCCCUGCUGAUUUUGACGCUGGCUUAUAGCCAGCUACCUGCUUCUUGCCCACCGAGAACCCUGAGGGUUUCCGGUGGAGCAACGCGGUAUUGCUUCUGUUCCUGGCUCCGCACCUGGGAAAGAAGCAUCUGUCUGCUGAUUUAUCAAGAGGACCAGCCAUGGUUAGGAAUGAUGGACAGUCCUCGGAGGAAGCAGUGCCAGAAGCAUGAUGAGCAGAAAUGCUGAACAAGAUGCUGGCUGGAGGGGAAAUCAAUCUCCCAGGCUGAUUAGUUUGGGCCAAACGCCAUCCUUUUGGAUCCCACUUAAGCUCAGGUGGCCUGUGGCGGCAGCAUCCACUGCACUGACUGUAUCGUAGCAAGCGGUGUCUGACAGCGAGCGAACUGCUUGUGGCCUGACUUGGAGUUCGUCCCUGCCCUGUUGAACCAGGGUCCAUAAGCUCAGCAGCAGAGCUUUGGAGGCCUCCCUGUCCGCACCCAAGGAUGUGGCUUGGGAAGAGCCAAACCAGCCCUCUGUGGCGCAAACGUCAGCUGAGGCAGCUGAAGGGUAGCACUUAGAACUGUCAGUGCCGCCUGCUCCAGCAGCUGGACAGAAACAAGAGCACUUCACCGAUUCAGUCCCAUUUGCUACCACGAACCCUUCAGCCUCCUCAGAGUCUCCCCGCUGCUGCUUGGGGCCCCGUGGGGUGUUUCACACCCACACGUAGAGUGGUCCUCUGUUUUUCUCCAGUCCUGCCCCAGCCUGCUGGCCUGAGUGCUCUGAGCGUGCUCGCAUAUGGCUGUGAAGCCCCCUGGAGGCCACCCCAUACCACCCCUCAUUGUGCCAAAGCCCUUGCCACAGGGCCUCCAUGCCCUGCCCAGCGCUGUGGAACCACUCCCUUAGUUUUCAUUCUUUCCUCUCUGCAGCCUUUCUCCCCAGGACCCGGGCAGGUGUCCCGAGUCCUGGGGGAGAAGCAGGAGGGGUUUCUCUGCUCCUCCCACAUGGACCUGGAUCUGUGCACCUCUUCUCCCCUUUGCUCCUGAGGAUGAAGUCUUUCCUGGGAGGCUCAUGGCAAAGCCGUCUUAGGAGGCCCAGAGCUGCGAUGCUUCAGAUGCACCCAAACCUGUCUGAAUCCGGGGUAGACAAAGUCCAGGUCUAGGCUGAGACCCCGCCACUCCUUCCAGUGGACAGGUGUGGGAAGACAGGACCUCAGCCGGCAGCCCCAAGAGGCUCACAGCUGCUUCCCUGGCCAAGAAGAGGAUCACAGGACAGUGUCCUGACUCUUCUGAAUCCAGCCUCCACAGUGAGCUGUUGUUACUCAGGUGGAGAGAGCGUGAGAGAAUGAGGAGAGAGGCAGGACGGCGCCGGCCCAGCAGCCUCUCGGCUGUGCCGUUAACAGUCUGGGCACAUCAUUCCUCUCCUUGGCCUCCCUGUCACGUGUCAAGUCAGUGGUGCUCUGUCUAGAUCAGAGGUCAGCAAACCUUUUCUGGAAAGGGCCAGGGAAAUAUUUCAGGCUUUGUGGGUCACACCGUCUCUGUCCUAACAACUCAGCCCUGCAGUUGGAGCACAAAAGCAGCUGUGGACAAUACGCGACUGUGUUCCGACAAAACUGAUGUAUAGAAACAGGUGGUCGAUUGCACUGGACCCACAGGCCAUAGUUGGUCAACUACAGGUCUAGGUGAUUUCCAAAGGCUCUUUAAGUUUCAGCAAAUCCUUAAGGCCAGAAGUGAAUACUUUGAUGCCAGAGGCAUGAGGCCUUUGAAUGGAAGAUCCCAAAUUUCACCAGUAGUUUCCUUGCUUUUUUUCGAAAACGUCUUCCCUUCUCUCUUCCCCAGCUAGGACCUGAAUUUCAGCGGCAUUUAUCGAGAGCCCAGAAUGUACCUGGAGGUGCUCUUGAUGUAGGGGAGUCUAUUGAUACAAUGACUGACACCUCCAAUGACUCACGAUGUAAAUGAAGGCAAUAAACAGGUAGUGACGUCAUAGGAAACAGAGUUAUCGCUCUAGUCCGUCAUCGAGACAAAUCAAGUUGCAAGGCAGCUCCGUUUCACAUACCAGAGGGCAUCAGGUUCAAGGACGUCGUCAUGUAAAACGGGAGGAGAGACAGGAAGCUGGCUGGGCCGUCGAAGCGCAUUCCCGCGGGACCCCGAGAAGUCCCGACUCGGGCUGGGACUGGUCCACAGAGCAGUGCCGCGACGGGUUGCCCUGGAGGGCUGAGGGGCAGCUCGUGGAGGUAAAAGCCACACUUUUGUCCUGACUUGCAGAGAAGUGGGCAGUAGGUUAGGGUGCAGAGCAUGCGAAGGGAGCAUCUCGUUGUGGAAUGCGUAGGUGAAGGUGCCGGUCAGCGGGAAACCACGGGGAGCGGGCGUCUCAACUCUCCUCGGCCGCGGUCCCCGGCUCCGCAGAGCUUCCUCAUCUUAUUUCAGGGAGACGAAGUGUUGGUCGAGGCGAUUCCUGGACCACACGCAAGAUGCUGUACCAAGAUUUCUGUCUUUGACAUGUUUAUUUCUAAAAUGUCAUCACGACUUGCUAGAUCCUUUCCAUAAAACCGGCAGUAAACAUCGCUUGCCUUCAGCAGCAGGGCUAGGUGGCUCCAAAGGCUUGUCGUAGCCACGCAGACACAUGGGUGUCACUGGAGGAGCAACAGCGCAGGUAAUUCCAAACACCCCAACUCAGUUCUCCUUGACUUCGGGGUUUAGUCCAUUUGCGCAGGAGUACAUUUAUAUUUUUCCUAUUUUAUGGAAUCACUGAAGCUUAGAAUUUUACCGGAGCCCUUCAUUUCACCCUCACUGAAAGGCGAAUUUAGAGAAGGAAUAUUAAGUGCUUGCUUUCGGCCACGGACUUAAUAGAAGAACCAAAAUUAGAAGCUAGGUCUUCUGAUGCCAGAGGUGGAGCUGUCAGGACUGCAUUUUGCACCGUGACCCGGGGUGUGUGCGGGAGCACGCCUGCAGCCCGAAGCGGACCUUUCCUCUUCUUUUCUAUUCGAUUAUCUCCUUUGACCAAGUGCUGGUCAUGACCCCCUCAGCUGACGUCACAGCCCCCUAAAAGGUCCCAGCUCAGCUCGGUUUUUGAUAAACACUGCUCUGGGUGACAGUAUUACUCAUAUGCCAUCACAGCCGCCACACACCAAACAAAAACGAAUGCUUUCUUACAGCAGCGCGAGCAAAUAUUUCUCUUUGAAAGAUUACCACUUUGCAUGAGGAAGGAGAAAGAACUGGGAUCAUUUGGUUUUCCUGGGCCAAAAAAGUCUAAAUAUGCAUAAAGGGAGCCACGAAUCUGUCGGAUAUUUUCCAAGCACAUCCAAAGCCCACGUUCUCCGUGAUGGCUUUCCAGACUAGCUCGCUGAGCUCGGAACCUCUCGACACUGAUGGACAUUUUUGCAGAGUCACUAAUGCGAAACCUCAUCUUUAUCGCCUUCUUUCUAGGAAAUGGCAAAGAAAGAAAAUUCCCGCGGAUGUCUGGAAGACACUCCCUGCUUAUCCUCAAAUCCGUGAGAGGGAUGGAAGCUCUGAUGUAGGGGCAAGAUGACGUUAUUAGCUGUACCCAUCCCGAUGCUGCAUAUUUGAGUGCUGAAACUGUAAUAGCAAUGCAACGAAAAUGUCAAAAUCGAGCUGGUCCAGGAUGGAACCUAGGCUUUCACAGGGACGUAUCAUUAGAUGGCCGAGGCUAUCUGAGAAACUUUUCAGCCUCUGGGCAGCUUUAAUCUCCGGCUGGUUCUCCACCCCAAAUAUCCUUCAGAGUUAGGCAUUGUCACCAAGGAGCUCUUUGAAAUUCGUUUUGUUUUCUCAGCCACCAGAGCUGCAGGAGGUCGUGACCAGGGGCGAGGAGCAGAAGGGAAAAGCACAGGAAUGGAAAAGCUUUAAGACUCCUCGUGCCAGAGAAUCAGGCACCACAUUGGAGAAUAGCAGCCUGGGACCGUAGACUCUCAGAAGAGCAUAAAAGACGGCCCUCAGGCCU